ensembl:lncRNA
UAAUAUAGGCAGUUCAUAUAAUGCACAACCCUAAUAUUACAUAAUGAUACAAGAAUCUUUCUCACCAUCCCCUGCUGAAGAUGACAGAUGCUUUUGGUAAGCUUUGUCACAUACAGCGUGAAGUGAAGGCAACUCUCGGGUUUUCAAGCAGCAGCAAGUGGAAGUUACAUUAACAGUGGCAGGCUGACUCAGAGAUGUAUGAUUCAACCAGCAGCAGUAAACAGAAUGUUCAGGCCUGUUCCAGAGCAGCAGGGUAAAAGCCCUCAGCAAUGCAGAGCAGGAGCUUUGGGAAAGAGCCGUCCGGUCCCUUCACGCAUGUCACAGACACGACUGGAUGUGCUGAAGAUUGACACAGUACGAGUGCAUUAGGAAAUGCCAUGUAGACAGACAUUCCUUUAAUUAUGUAGCAUCUAGCAUCAUUCAUUAUUUAAAUUGUCUAUAUAUUUCCCAGGAAAUAUAUAUCCAUUGACAUUAGUUUCUGUUUCCAUUGUGUUGGCGGUAUUAUAGUUUUUCAGCACCUUCUCUGUACAUAGUCUCAGUCCACAAGUUUAGAUCUUAUAAAAAUGUUGGUCUUGUGGUUGAGAUUAGAUUGCUCUUGUAGUCUGAAGAUUUCAG